AUUGAACGCUGGCGGCGUGCCUAACACAUGCAAGUCGAGCGGUAACAGGUGUAGCAAUACAUGCUGACGAGCGGCGAACGGGUGAGUAAUGCUUCGGAAUCUACCCAAUGGUGGGGAAUAACCAGCCGAAAGGUUGGCUAAUACCGCAUACGUCCCACGGGAGAAAGCAGGGGAUCGCAAGACCUUGCGCCAAUGGAUGAGCCGAAGUCGGAUUAGCUAGUUGGAGGGUAACGGCCUACCAAGGCGACGAUCCGUAGCUGGUCUGAGAGGACGACCAGCCACACUGGGACUGAGACACGGCCCAGACUCCUACGGGAGGCAGCAGUGGGGAAUAUUGGACAAUGGGGGAAACCCUGAUCCAGCGACGCCGCGUGUGUGAAGAAGGCCUGCGGGUUGUAAAGCACUUUUAGUGGGGAUG
rnacentral:rRNA from 1 species